rnacentral:rRNA from 1 species
GAUGAACGCUGGCGGCGUGCCUAAUACAUGCAAGUCGAGCGAACAGACGAGGAGCUUGCUCCUUUGACGUUAGCGGCGGACGGGUGAGUAACACGUGGGUAACCUACCUAUAAGACUGGGAUAACUUCGGGAAACCGGAGCUAAUACCGGAUAAUAUUUCGAACCGCAUGGUUCGAUAGUGAAAGAUGGCUUUGCUAUCACUUAUAGAUGGACCUGCGCCGUAUUAGCUAGUUGGUAAGGUAACGGCUUACCAAGGCAACGAUACGUAGCCGACCUGAGAGGGUGAUCGGCCACACUGGAACUGAGACACGGUCCAGACUCCUACGGGAGGCAGCAGUAGGGAAUCUUCCGCAAUGGGCGAAAGCCUGACGGAGCAACGCCGCGUGAGUGAUGAAGGUCUUCGGAUCGUAAAACUCUGUUAUUAGGGAAGAACAAACGUGUAAGUAACUGUGCACGUCUUGACGGUACCUAAUCAGAAAGCCACGGCUAACUACGUGCCAGCAGCCGCGGUAAUACGUAGGUGGCAAGCGUUAUCCGGAAUUAUUGGGCGUAAAGCGCGCGUAGGCGGUUUUUUAAGUCUGAUGUGAAAGCCCACGGCUCAACCGUGGAGGAUCAUUGGAAACUGGAAAACUUGAGUGCAGAAGAGGAAAGUGGAAUUCCAUGUGUAGCGGUGAAAUGCGCAGAGAUAUGGAGGAACACCAGUGGCGAAGGCGACUUUCUGGUCUGUAACUGACGCUGAUGUGCGAAAGCGUGGGGAUCAAACAGGAUUAGAUACCCUGGUAGUCCACGCCGUAAACGAUGAGUGCUAAGUGUUAGGGGGUUUCCGCCCCUUAGUGCUGCAGCUAACGCAUUAAGCACUCCGCCUGGGGAGUACGACCGCAAGGUUGAGACUCAAAGGAAUUGACGGGGACCCGCACAAGCGGUGGAGCAUGUGGUUUAAUUCGAAGCAACGCGAAGAACCUUACCAAAUCUUGACAUCCUUUGACCCUUCUAGAGAUAGAAGUUUCCCCUUCGGGGGACAAAGUGACAGGUGGUGCAUGGUUGUCGUCAGCUCGUGUCGUGAGAUGUUGGGUUAAGUCCCGCAACGAGCGCAACCCUUAAGCUUAGUUGCCAUCAUUAAGCUGGGCACUCUAAGUUGACUGCCGGUGACAAACCGGAGGAAGGUGGGGAUGACGUCAAAUCAUCAUGCCCCUUAUGAUUUGGGCUACACACGUGCUACAAUGGACAAUACAAAGGGCAGCGAAACCGCGAGGUCAAGCAAAUCCCAUAAAGUUGUUCUCAGUUCGGAUUGUAGUCUGCAACUCGACUACAUGAAGCUGGAAUCGCUAGUAAUCGUAGAUCAGCAUGCUACGGUGAAUACGUUCCCGGGUCU